GAUGAACGCUGGCGGCGUGCCUAAUACAUGCAAGUCGAGCGAACGGACGAGAAGCUUGCUUUUCUGAUGUUAGCGGCGGACGGGUGAGUAACACGUGGAUAACCUACCUAUAAGACUGGGAUAACUUCGGGAAACCGGAGCUAAUACCGGAUAAUAUUUUGAACCGCAUGGUUCAAAAGUGAAAGACGGUCUUGCUGUCACUUAUAGAUGGAUCCGCGCUGCAUUAGCUAGUUGGUAAAGUAACGGCUUACCAAGGCAACGAUGCAUAGCCGACCUGAGAGGGUGAUCGGCCACACUGGAACUGAGACACGGUCCAGACUCCUACGGGAGGCAGCAGUAGGGAAUCUUCCGCAAUGGGCGAAAGCCUGACGGAGCAACGCCGCGUGAAUGAUGAAGGUCUUCGGAUCGUAAAACUCUGUUAUUAGGGAAGAACAUAUGUGUAAGUAACUGUGCACAUCUUGACGGUACCUAAUCAGAAAGCCACGGCUAACUACGUG
rnacentral:rRNA from 1 species